rnacentral:tRNA from 1 species
UCCCUGGUGGCUCAGUGGUAAAGCAUCUGCCUACCAAGCAGGAGACAUGGGUACGAGCCCACUCCAGGAAG